rnacentral:rRNA from 1 species
CCAAUAGCGUAUAUUAAAGUUGCUGCAGCUAAAAAGCUCGUAGUUGAAUUUCGGGACCAAUAUGUCGGUCGUGCUUCGGUACGUACUGUCAUUAUUGGUUUCUCCCUUCUGAAGAACCUUGAUGUCAUUAAUUUGGUGUCUUGGGGAAUCAGGACUGUUACUUUGAAAAAAUUAGAGUGUUUAAAGCAGGCUCGCGCUUGAAUACAUUAGCAUGGAAUAAUGAAAUAGGACGUUUGAUUCUAUUUUGUUGGUUUCUAGGAUCGACGUAAUGAUUAAUAGGGAUAGUUGGGGGCAUUAGUAUUCAAUUGUCAGAGGUGAAAUUCUUGGAUUUAUUGAAGACUAACUACUGCGAAAGCAUUUGCCAAGGAUGUUUUCAUUAAUCAAGAACGAAAGUUAGGGGAUCGAAGACGAUCAGAUACCGUCGUAGUCUUAACCAUAAACUAUGCCGACUAGGGAUCGGAUGAUGUUAAUUUUUUAAUGACUCAUUCGGCGCCUUACG